rnacentral:rRNA from 1 species
AGUGAACGCUGGCGGUAGGCCUAACACAUGCAAGUCGAACGGCAGCACAGUAAGAGCUUGCUCUUACGGGUGGCGAGUGGCGGACGGGUGAGGAAUACAUCGGAAUCUACUUUUUCGUGGGGGAUAACGUAGGGAAACUUACGCUAAUACCGCAUACGUCCUACGGGUGAAAGCAGGGGAUCUUCGGACCUUGCGCGUUUGAAUGAGCCGAUGUCGGAUUAGCUAGUUGGCGGGGUAAAGGCCCACCAAGGCGACGAUCCGUAGCUGGUCUGAGAGGAUGAUCAGCCACACUGGAACUGAGACACGGUCCAGACUCCUACGGGAGGCAGCAGUGGGGAAUAUUGGACAAUGGGCGCAAGCCUGAUCCAGCCAUACCGCGUGGGUGAAGAAGGCCUUCGGGUUGUAAAGCCCUUUUGUUGGGAAAGAAAAGCAGCAGGUUAAUACCCCGCUGUUCUGACGGUACCCAAAGAAUAAGCACCGGCUAACUUCGUG